AAAUAGAAGAAAGAAAAAAAUUGUUUCGACAGAACCCACUUUUUUCUUUGUUUCAUCUCUCUCUCUCGCAGUUUCUCUCUCGAUCGAAGUCUAUUGAUAAAAAGAAGGAGAAUGUCCUGUUUAUGCUAUGGAAUCAAAGGCGAUUGGGUCGGAGGAGAUCCGAAUCGGAGAGGAUUUAAUAUGGGGAGGCGAAUCGAUUCAUUCGGAUGAGGUUGAAGCAAUCGGAAUCUGAGGCUCUAUUAAAGUUUUGCCAUGUUUAUAAAGCAAGAGAGAAACAGGUUAGUGUGUGUCUCUUUUUACAAUCAAUGUUGUUGUUUUUGAGUUAUUCACAUAAAGAUUUGUCGGAGAUACUGUUGAUUUGAUGUCUUUGUUCUUGUUGUGUUGUGAGAAUUUUAGGUGUUGUGUUGUGUUGUGUUGUGAUGUCUUUCAACUUGGCUGUUGUGUUGUGUUGUGUUGUGUUGUGAGAAUUUCAGGUGUUGUGUUGUGAGAAUUUUAACUUGAAGUCUUGCUUUGUUGUUGUCGUUGAUAGUUUUGUUUGUGACACUUAAACACAAAUGCUUGGUAGGUAGUUGUAAUAGUUAAACACUUAUUGUGAAUAGUUUAGUGAAUCGUUUUAUAACAUGGUUCUGUUCUGUUCUUCUUUACAAAUGGCACGCUCGCUGGUCGGGGUUCCACAACAGCGACAUACUUUUCCACAACAGAAUUAAGACCCGGAUUAAGUCGGAGAUACAGAUUGUCCUGAGGAAUAAUAUGAAAGGAAACACACAAAAAACUGAGAACUGGAAGCUAAAAGAGCUUCCGUUGUUUAAAAGAUGUAUGAUCCAGCCAUACCCGAUGCUGAAUUUCCACGGUGGAUCGAUGAAGCGAGAGGCCUAUUAUCAUCAGACAUAUCGGCAAGUUCAAUAGCCGAAGUCUCUGUUCCAUUACCAGCCACACCUACAAGUUAUUAUGGAAACAAUGUUUCAAGAUUGCAAACAAAACAAUGCGACUAACUAACUUUCACCUUCAUUGUAGAGCCCUUUUGAUUCUUCAUUGCAAAAUUUGGAGAAUACAAUUAAGCAUUUUUUUUUUUUUUUU